UUUUUUUUUUUUUUUUUUUUUUUUUGCUAUUUAGGGCCACACGUGCAGCAUAGGGAAGUUCCCAGGCUAGGGGUCAAAAUGGAGAUGCAGCUGCUCGCUUACGCCUCAGCCACAGAAACACCAGAUCAGAGCCAUGUCACCACUGAGCCACAAGAGCAACUCCUGAAAUCCUUUUUAAUCUAUAGUUUUUUUCCUUCCUUUCUUGUCUUUGCAGUGACAAGCAAUGCUUUUACUAGUCAGUGGUUGAAUAAAUACAUCAAUACUUUAACUGUUCAAUAAUAUAUUGAAUCCAUUUUUAUUCACUAAAAUAAUCGGAUUUUUAGAAUAAUCUAUAUAUCCUAUCUACUGACAAUGUUUAGGAUGUAUAUUUUUCAAAGUUUCAUUACAAUAUUAUAAUAACUGAGAGUGUCAUGUACUGUCAACUACUAUACUUUUUUUUUUUUUUUUUGCGCUAUUUCUUGGGCCGCUCCCACGGCAUAUGGAGGUUCCCAGGCUAGGGGUUGAAUCAGAGCUGUAGCCACCAGCCUACGCCAGAGCCACAGCAACACUAGAUCCGAGCCGUGUCUGCAACCUACACCACAGCUCACGGCAAUGCCGGAUCGAUUAACCCACUGAGCAAGGCCACUAGGGAACUCUGAUAGAAGAACCACUUAAGUGUCAUAUUAAGGAUUAAUAAACACGACUAAUUUCGCUGCAGGCUUCCGAGCCAUGACUUCCCACUGCGACAGGGUCCAGGCCGGGAGCCAUCGAAUACCCUCUGAAUUGCACAGCAGCGCCUGGCUUCAUCCCCGGACCUUAUCAUGGGACUGCGUCCUCCCCUUGUUUAUGAAAGAAAGUAUUGUGUUGGGUAAGGUUGACACCGAUUGACAUGUUACUUCAUUUAAGAAGGAUAAUAAGCAAUUUAUUCGGAUCAACAUCCUCUGUACAGCAAGUAACGCAUUUCAAAGUUAGUCACAAGACAACAUUCCAACUCACUGUGGUCACUAUGGAUGACCAUAUAGAACAUGCCACAAAGCUUAAUCCUUCACAUUCCAGAACAUCCAGUAACUCUAAAAGGACUUACACACACAAGUCAAAAAGCACCACCCCACCAAUAGGCUUUUUUCUUCACAGUGGGUAAGGCAGUCUAAAACUACAAAUAUGGGAGGGUAGAAUUCAUAAUUGGUUCAGAGCACCCGAAGAAAUGGUUGCCUAGGAGUCCAAAAGUCUGGACUUGGAGAACAGACUUGUGGUUGCCAAGGGGGAGGGGGAGGGAGUGGGAUGGACUGGGAGUCCAGGGUUAAUAGAUGCAAACUAUUGCAUUUGGAAUGGAUAAGCAAUGAGAGCCUGUUGUAUAGCAUUGGGAACUCUAUCUAGUCACUUAUGAUGGAGCAUGAUGGACGAUAAUAUAAGAAAAAGAAUGUAAGUGUGACUGGGUCACUUUGCUGUACAGGAGAAAAUUGACAGAACACUGUAAACCAGUUAUAAUGGAAAAAUGAAAAAUCGUUUAGGAAAAAAACCACAAAAAUAAGCACAAGGGUGAAAAAAAAAGAAAUCUAAAAUUAAGUGCCCAAUAAUAAUAAAAAUAAAGACCACUAAUUACUAAGGGCCUACGUGUGAAAAAACUAGGUAAGGGUGCUUUACACAUGUUACUUCAUUUUAAUCCAAACAAACCCAUAAUGUCUGUAAAUGAACAAGUUUGCAGCUGUGGAAACUGACAAGAUUAGUAAAUAAACUGAGAACACUGCGCAUCUGGUUUCCUUCUAUAUUUUCAAAGAAUAAGCUGUUACAUAGAGUUGUAGGAGAUCAAGGUCUCAAAUUAAAAUGCAAUUAUGAUUUCAAUGUUUUUAUAUUAAUUCUGAACCUCAAACAAAAGCAAGGGACAUAUCAAAAAAGGAUAAUUAAUUCACUAUCUUAAAUAUUUCAUGAAGAAAGAAUACAUUCGUCUUAUCAAAAGUAAUAGUAGGAAAAGCAGAAAUCACAUUAUGGCUAACAAAUCAGAGAUGCUUAUUCAAUUCAAUCCUCUUCAGUUAAUAUCUCACUAUUUUUUUUUUUUUUUUUUUUUUUUUU
rnacentral:lncRNA from 1 species